rnacentral:rRNA from 1 species
UACGUAGGGAGCAAGCGUUGUCCGGAAUCAUUGGGCGUAAAGCGCGCGUAGGCGGCCCGGUAAGUCCGCUGUGAAAGUCAAAGGCUCAACCUUUGAAUGUCAGCGGAUACUGCCGGGCUAGAGUCCGGAAGAGGCGAGUGGAAUUCCUGGUGUAGCGGUGGAAUGCGCAGAUAUCAGGAGGAACACCAACGGCGAAGGCAGCUCGCUGGGACGGUACUGACGCUGAGGCGCGAAAGCGUGGGGAGCGAACAGG